rnacentral:tRNA from 1 species
GCCCGGCUAGCUCAGUCGGUAGAGCACAUGGCUCUUAACCAUGGGGUCGAGGGUUCGAGCCCCUCGUUGGGCG